rnacentral:rRNA from 1 species
GCAGCAGGCGCGAAAACUUUACAAUGCGGGAAACCGUGAUAAGGGGACACCGAGUGCCAGCAUCAUAUGCUGGCUGUCCGGAUGUGUAAAAUACAUCCGUUAGCAAGGGCCGGGCAAGACCGGUGCCAGCCGCCGCGGUAACACCGGCGGCCCGAGUGGUGAUCGUGAUUAUCGGGUCUAAAGGGUCCGUAGCCGGUUUGGUCAGUCCUCCGGGAAAUCUGAUAGCUUAACUAUUAGGCUUUCGGGGGAUACUGCCAGACUUGGAACCGGAAGAGGUAAGAGGUACUACAGGGGUAGGAGUGAAAUCUUGUAACCCCUGUGGGACCACCUGUGGCGAAGGCGUCUUACCAGAACGGGUUCGACGGUGAGGGACGAAAGCUGGGGGCACGAACCGGAUUAGAUACCCGGGUAGUCCCAGCCGUAAACGAUGCUCGCUAGGUGUCAGGCAUGGCGCGACCGUGUCUGGUGCCGCAGGGAAGCCGUGAAGCGAGCCACCUGGGAAGUACGGCCGCAAGGCUGAAACUUAAAGGAAUUGGCGGGGGAGCACAACAACGGGUGGAGCCUGCGGUUUAAUUGGACUCAACGCCGGGAA